UACAGAGGUCUCAACCGUUGUUCGGAUUCAUUGGGCGUAAAGGGCGCGUAGGCGGCUUGGUAAGUCCGUUGUGAAAUCCCUCGGCUCAACCGAGGAACUGCGACGGAUACUGCUUGGCUUGAGUCCCGGAGAGGGUAGCGGAAUUCCCGGUGUAGCGGUGAAAUGCGUAGAGAUCGGGAGGAAGGCCGGUGGCGAAGGCGGCGCUCUGGAACAUUUCUGACGCUGAGGCUCGAAAGCGUGGGGAGCAAACAGG
rnacentral:rRNA from 1 species